rnacentral:rRNA from 1 species
UACGGGGGGGGGCAAGCGUUGUUCGGAAUUACUGGGCGUAAAGGGCUCGUAGGCGGCCAACUAAGUCGGAUGUGAAAUCCCCAGGCUCAACCUGGGAACUGCAUCCGAUACUGGAUGGCUUGAAUUCGGGAGAGGGAUGCAGAAUUCCAGGUGUAGCGGUGAAAUGCGUAGAUAUCCGGAGGAACACCGGUGGCGAAGGCGGCUUCCUGGACCGACACUGACGCUGAGGCGCGAAAGCUAGGGGAGCAAACGGG